rnacentral:rRNA from 1 species
UACAGAGGGGGCAAGCGUUGUUCGGAAUUACUGGGCGUAAAGGGCGCGUAGGCGGCCUGUUAAGUCGAACGUGAAAUCCCCGGGCUCAACCCGGGAACUGCGUCCGAUACUGGCAGGCUUGAAUUCGGGAGAGGGAUGUGGAAUUCCAGGUGUAGCGGUGAAAUGCGUAGAUAUCUGGAGGAACACCGGUGGCGAAGGCGGCCUGCUGGGCAGUAGCUGACGCUGAGGCGCGACAGCGUGGGGAGCAAACAGG